CUUGGUCAUUUAGAGGAAGUAAAAGUCGUAACAAGGUCUCCGUUGGUGAACCAGCGGAGGGAUCAUUAUAGAGUUAUAACAAACUCCCAACCCAUGUGAAUUUACCUAUGUUGCCUCGGCAGGUCCUACCCUGUAGUUACCCUGUAGCUACCCUGUAGCCUGCCGGUGGACCUACAAACUCUGUUUUUAAUGGAAAUCUGAGCGUAUUAUUUAAUAAAUAAAAACUUUCAACAACGGAUCUCUUGGUUCUGGCAUCGAUGAAGAACGCAGCGAAAUGCGAUAAGUAAUGUGAAUUGCAGAAUUCAGUGAAUCAUCGAAUCUUUGAACGCACAUUGCGCCCAUUAGUAUUCUAUUGGGCAUGCCUGUUCGAGCGUCAUUUCAACCCUCAAGCCUAGCUUGGUGUUGGGAAUCUACUGUACGCGGUGCUACCCUGUAGUUACCCUGUAGUUCCUCAAAUACAGCGGCGGAGUUGCAGUAAUCUCUGAGCGUAGUAAUUUUUUCUCGCUUUGGUAGGUGCUGUGGCUUUUGCCGUUAAACCCCCCAAUUUUUAAUGGUUGACCUCGGAUCAGGUAGGAAUACCCGCUGAACUUAAGCAUAUCAAUAAGCGGAGGA
rnacentral:rRNA from 1 species